rnacentral:rRNA from 7 species
AGGAGAAAAGUCGUAACAAAGUAGGCGUAUUGGAAAAUGUGCCUGGUAUAAA